rnacentral:rRNA from 1 species
AAUCAACGCUGGCGGCGUGCCUAACACAUGUAAGUCGCACGAGAAAGGGGAGCAAUCCCUGAGUACAGUGGCGCACGGGUGAGUAACACGUGAAUUAUCUACCUCCGAGUGGGGAAUAACUGAGAGAAAUCUUAGCUAAUACCGCAUAACACUUACGAGUCAAAGCAGCAAUGCGCUUGGAGAGGAGUUCGCGGCAGAUUAGUUAGUUGGCGGGGUAAUGGCCCACCAAGACGAUGAUCUGUAUCCGGCCUGAGAGGGCGCACGGACACACUGGAACUGAAACACGGUCCAGACUCCUACGGGAGGCAGCAGUGGGGAAUUUUGCGCAAUGGGGGAAACCCUGACGCAGCAACGCCGCGUGGAGGAUGAAAUAUCUUGGUAUGUAAACUCCUUUCGAUGGGGAAGAUUAUGACGGUACCCAUAGAAGAAGCCCGGCUAACUUCGUGCCAGCCGCCGCCGUAAU